AAAAAAAAAAAAAACCUUGAGAUCUUAUCAUGAAGAAAGUGUUCUUCUUGGUGCUUCUUCAAGUGAUCGCUAUUUUAAUAUCGGCUGAUCAAGUUUGAAUUCUCCAUUAUUUCCUUAUAACUUCGAUUCAAGAAGGUAUUCCUGUAAUCCUAAUUUUCUUAGGAAACAAAAGGAGAAGAGAAAGUAAAAGAAAAUAACAGGGAAAAUCCUCUCUCUCUCUCCCUUUUUCUCUCUGAUUAUAUGUGUUUGUUGAUUUCGAAGGUGGCGAACCAGAGAGGCUCAGGCGAGUACUUCAGGUACCCUGCUAUUGCAGACAGUGGCGAUGAUGACCAAGAAGAGAGACACCCACAAAUUAUAACCUCAGAAUCGAUGUUAAAUCAGCCAGUUCAUGUCACACAAUCGCUAGCUGCGUUUCCUGGUCAUGGCAGUACGGGGGAGAUGUCUGCAAUGGUUUCAGCUCUUACUCGUGUGGUUUCCGGCCAAGGAGCUGGUGACUGGGGAUAUGGAACUGGUUUCGGCGGUGCAAUAACAUCUAGUUAUGGUGGUUUUGGUUCUCCAGCUGGUGUUUAUUCAUCAUCAUCUUCUUCUUCUUUAUCACCUCCUUUUUCUGCUUAUUCGUCUACUUCUGGUUCUGGUUCUGGUUUCUGGAUUGGACAAAAGAGAGGACGUGAAGAAGAAGGUGCAGUUCAGUUGAUUGAAUCUGAGCCAAGGGUUUAUAGAGGGUUUGGUGAUUUCACAAGUUCUCAUGGAGAUUCUUCUUCUUCUGGUGCAACUCGUGAGUUUCUUUCCAUUGAAUCUGCCAUUCUUUUUCUAAUAUGUUUUCACUUGUCGGAUACAAACAUCAUAUAUUGCAUGUAAUAAAAAUUUUAUUCUCAUCUUUAUAAUCAAAAGCUUGAAUUUGUCAGCUUCAUGAAAUCAUCAGACAUCUGGAAAGUAUCAAUACAACAGUUCAUUACACUACAGAAUUUAAAUAUAUAUAUAUAUAUAUAUAUAUAUAUAUAUAUAUAUAUAUAGAUUUUCUCUAUUUUCUUUGUUCAUAAUCAAUCUUUUAUACCAUUUACAGUAACAGAAGAGCCAGCUGCUUCAAUUAUAGUUCCCACCGCCACCGCUCCCGCUGCACCACCGACAUCAUCAACUGAAACGGUAUCUUAUGAAGAAACCGGCGAGCGGAGAAGAAGAUACAGAGGAGUUAGACAAAGGCCGUGGGGUAAAUGGGCGGCUGAAAUACGUGAUCCGCAUAAAGCAGCAAGAGUCUGGCUUGGCACAUUCGAAACAGCGGAGGCCGCCGCCAGAGCUUACGACGAAGCUGCUUUAAGAUUUAGAGGAAAUAGAGCUAAACUAAACUUCCCUGAAAAUGUCAGAGUGUUGCCACCUCCAAUGCAAAAUGUUCCUAUUUCCCAAAUCCCCAUUGGUCUUCCACAGCCAUCUCAAUUACUGCCAUUAUCGUCUCAACCACCACAAGAGCCGCAGCAGCCGACGACACUUCCGCCACAAUUCUUUUUGUCUCAGGCUGAUACGAUGAGAGAUUACUGGGAGUACUCUCAGCUGUUACAGAGCACUGGUGACUUGCAUGGAUUUCAACCCUCGAGUUUGAUGGAGCAAAUGUUUUAUAAUCAGCAAUUGGCUUCUCUACAAUCAACUGUUUUGCCGUCGUCUUCUCGAUCUUCAUCGGCUUCAUUAUCUUCAUCCAUUUCAGCUCCUCCUUUUGCAACAUCUUCUUCAGGGUCAUUGUCAUCAUCUUCUUCAUCCUCUGCUUCAUUUCCUCUGAUUCUGGCUGGUCAACAAUUGGGUUAUUUCCGGCCCCCACGAAAUCAAAAUCCGCCCACUGGUUCUGAUUUGCCGGUGCCGCCAUGGUCAGAUUCUACUGACCACCCUUCCUCUACUGGUUAAAGUUGAUUCCACAUUUUUUUAGUUAUUAUUUUGUUCUUAUCUACUUUCGAAAUUUUAAAAUAUGUUUCAGUCAUUAUUUUUUUUCUUUUUCCUACAAAUCGCUCAGAUUAAAAUUCAAAGAAAGAUAAAAAUCCAUUUUAAUUAUAAUAUCGUUAUUAUUUUAUAAAUAUUGUUGAUUUUAUAGUUUAAGCAAUGAACAUUUUGAACAUUUUACGAUUUAUAUCCUAAUUGUUUCUUCCCUUUGCUGGAUUUUUCCGAUUUUAUUCGGUUUAUUAUAAAUUUAAAAUAUAAAUAAAUAAAUUUUUUAUAAUAAAUAAAAAAUAUAUUAGUUAAAAAGAUCUUCAUAAAAUUAAAUUUAAUAAUUAAAUAAUUAUUUUUCCCUAUUGCAUCACGGCUGCUAUUAUUUAAUGAGUCUAAUCUAUGGGCAAUCCACCACAUUUGAUUUAUUGGAAAAUUGAAGUGAGUUGCAUGUGAGAAUGAAGUUCUUUCUGGUGGCUGAAUUGAAUUUUAUUUAAUUUUCAAUUGUUGGAAGUGAAAUUUUGGUGGAUUAGUCAAACAUAAAGAAUUUUGGAAACCAAACUUUUGAUUUCUUUAAAGAGAAGAAAUUUAAUUAGUUUUUACUGUUAGAUUUAAAUCGAAAAAAUUAAUUAAAAUGAAUUAAUUUAAAUUUUUAUUUUUAUUUUUUAUUUAUUUUAAUUUGAUUUAAUUUUUAUUUAAAAAAUUAAAAAUUUAUAAAUUUGCAUGUUUAAAUUUCAGUCAAAAUUAUUUAUAAAAGAAAUAGAGACAAAGAGCUGCUUUCAAGGACAUGAUGUCCUAAUAUUCACCACAUCAUAUUUGAUUAAAUCGUUUGAAAUAUUGAAGUUCUUAGGUCACUUUCAAUCCCUUGAUGAUAAUUUCAAGGAGAAUAAUUCUUGGUUUGAUUUGGGGAAUUUAAAAUUAAAAAAGUUAUUUUUAAUUAUACAGAGUUUCACCAAAUAAUUAAUCAAUAAUAAUUUAAAUUUUAAAUUAAAUAAAAUACUUAUUUUAAUCAAUUGAAUAAAACUAUUAUCAGUUCGUUUAAUUUAAUUUAGAUAGCUAAAUUAAAAUAAUUGAAUUGAAUUUUAAUUUUAUAAAAUUAUUAUUUUCCUUAAUGUGAUUAAGCCUUAUAAAAAUUGAAAAUAGGACCAUUUUCUAUGAAGAAUAAUUGAAGUUAGAAAACAGAUACCUUAUCGUUUUAAUUUAUUUAAAAAAAUUAUUAUUUAAUUCCUUAUUAGAAAUUUAUUAGUUAAUUUUUUUAUUUUAGAAAAUAUAUUAAAAUAUAUAUAAUAUUUAAAAAAAUUUAUUAACUAAUAUUAAAUUUAAACUAAACUCUGAAAAAAUAAUUCAAACAAAACACGUGUCUCAAAUUUUUAUAAAAAAUAAGUUAUUUUUAUUUUAAAUUAAUAUAAAAUUUAAUAAAUCUCGUCACCACUAUACUGAAACACGACAUAUUUACAGAAUCAAAAUUGAUAAAAAAUUUUAAUAUUAUAUUAAAUUUAUAUUAAUCUUAACUUAUCUCAAAAAAUUAAUUUAAAUUUAACAAUUAAUUCAUCUAUAAAUUUUAAUCCAUUAAAUAUUAUAAAAAAAUUUAAAAUAUAUUUAAUAUAAAUGAAUUAAUUAGUAGAAUUUUAUAAAUUUAAAGAGAUAAUUAAUAAUUUAUUUUUAAAUUACAGUAAAAUAUUUUAAAUUAAUUAAUAAAUUUUUUAGAAUGUUAUAGAUAUAUUAAUAUAUUUUUUAAAAUUAAUAAAUAAUUCAUUUAUUUACACUUUAAUUAAAAAAUUAAACUCCAUCAAUUUCGUCAGUCAUCUCCCACUGUUUUCUUUCUUAUUUUGUUCGCCGAGUAAAAUUUCAAAAGUCAUUGUUCUAAAGCGUUAAUAAUUUUCAAAACUGAAAAAAUAAAUGAGAAAAGUUCAAUUUUUUUAUAAUUUAUUCCAAUUUAAAUUCAAUAUUUCACGGUGAAUUACUUUCACAAUAUUACCAUUUCGGAUUCACUGGUUAUAUAAAACAUAUGUCCCAUCUAAAGCGACAGGUGUCAGUAAGCUAUUGGUGUGCCGGAAACAAUAAUGAAUCACAAAAAACGUGCAAUAUGUUUGAAGACGCUGAAACCUUUCAACUUGUGAACAAUCGUUUGGUACCGACCAAAUAGAAAAUAAAAGAAAAAGAAAAGAAAUGCGAUUGUUCUGUCGAUGUUGUCUCCUUAUUACAUUGUAAUAUUACUAAUAAGGAACCUUCUUUAAGCUUUUUGGCCCUUUUGGUCAUUGAAAUAAGACCCCUCCUUUGCUUUCGACAUGUCUCUCAAACAUUCUUUUCAUUCCUUCUACACUUCUUUUCUUUUUGAAUAGCAAGCAAAUGCAUUGCAUGAUUACAUAAUGCAGUGAAAAAUUAUAAAACCGACUGAAAAAUCUCUAUAGAUAAAAUCAGUGAUAAAAUUUUAUUAAUAUAACAGCCAAUUAACUGAAAUAUAUAUACUCAAUUUUUACGUUAUUUUACAUUUUAAUUUAGGUAUUUAAAUUUUUAAUAAAUUAAUUUGAUAUUUAUAUUUAAAUAUAAUUUUAAUUAAUUUUUUAAAAAUAAAUAUGAGAGUUUAAAUAGCAUAUUAAAUAUAAUAUUAUUUUUAAAUACAAACUAAUUUUUUUCCGUUGUAUCCGAAUUCUGUUGCACCACGAGACGCUGUCUGCGAAUCGAAUUGUUUGGGAAUGCAACCUUAAUCGGACGGAAAAUUCCAUCCAAAACUAAAUACGGGCGAUAAACCGAUAGCGAAUAAAUACCGUGAUUCGGCAUUCAAGAGCACAGUGUGGCAGUUAAUAAUUUGAGAAAUCAAUUAAUAAGGUGAUAUUUUAGAUUUUUUAUAGUAUUUAAAAUUAAUAAAAAUAAUUAGUAGACUUUUUAAAAUAUUAAUCACAUUUUAAUAUAAUUUUUAAAAUUUUAUAAUUAACUAAUAAAUUUUUUCAUAUCAUAAAUACUAAAUAUUAAUUUUUUUAAAUAAAAAUCCCUUCCACUCUUUAAAUUCUUAAAUUUUUGUCAUCUACUUUCUUACACUCCUUUUGAUCCAUCAAGUGUUUAUUUAUUUAUAAAAAUUAAAUUUAAAAUUAUUUUCUUUAAUUUUAGAGAUUAAAACGUUAAAUUUAAAAUUUUGAGAAGUAAAUAUGUUAUUAGAUUAUAUUUAAAAGAUAAAAUUUUUAUUAAAAUUUUUAUUAUAUUUAUUGAAUUUAAAAUUUUAAUUUAUUAAAAUUUUUAUUUAUUUAUAAAUAUUAAAUUUAAAAUUUAAAAUAUAUUAUUUUAAUUUAUAAAUGAGAUUUUAUUAAUUGAAAUAACACCUACAAAUUUAUUAGAAUUAAAUUUAAAAAUUAAAGUAUUGAGUUUUAAAAAAAAAUAAUUUAGUUAUUUUUUUAUUAUUAACUGUAUUUUUUAUAAAAAAAUUUUAAUUUUAACAAAAUUAAAAUAAUAAAAUUUAAAAAUAAAAAAAUAAAUUUAUUAAUUACACUAUAAAUAAAUAAAAAAAUUUCCUAUAAAAAGUUUAAGAUUCUAUUCUUUGAAUUUUUUUGUAUUUAAAACUACUUACUUUAGAUUAUAGUUCACGUCUCAGCGAAAGCAUACAAUGACAUCAUGUGUCUCUUGUAUGAAUGUCUAAAUGGAUGAGUUCUGAACACGUGGACGAACACGUCAGAUGGCAAAAUUUUAAAAUUAUAUUUUUUUGUCAGGAAAUUAUAUUAUUUAUUUAUACGAAAGAUGUGCACGGAUUAUUGAUUAACAAAAGAAAAUUUAUAAUUUAUAAUAUACAAAUUUGAUUUUUAUUUGUAUGUAUUAUAAUUAUAAUUUAUAAAUAUAUUAUUAAUUCUAAAUUAAAAAUAAUUUAGGUAUAAUUUUUAUAAUGAUUUUGAAACUGGAUUAAAAACCUUAAUAAAUAAAUAUGAUAUAAUUCCAAUUUUUAAGUAAAAAAAAUUAAAAAAUGGCACACUUUUAAUUCAGAGGAUGUAAAAAAAAAAGUGGUCGGCCCAUGAAUGCCACGUGCAAAAGAGUCAGAUUUGAAAGUGACGUAAUAAGAAAAUAAGAUAGAAGAGAAGAUAGCACAUGGGCAUGCGUGCAAGAGAGGAGUAGACGUGCACCGCUUGUUAACCAUUGAUGCUUUGGUUUCUGGAAACUUUUUAUCAAUCCUGGCCAUUUUUAAUUACUUUUUGUUUAAAAUUAUCUGUUACUUGAAAAAAAAAAUUAUAAAUUUACUUUUUUAUUAAAACAAAAUUUUUACUUUCAAAUUUUAAAAACUUAAUUACAAUAAUUAUUUUUAUGUUUUUUUUAAGAAAAUGAGAAUAUAAAAACUUAAAUUUCCACCGAUCAAAUAAGCAAUAUAUCUUAAUUAUUAAAUUAAAUCAAAUAAUAUUUGAUGAAAAAUAUUUUUAUAUUUUUUAAUAUUUAAAAUAAAAAUUAUAUAUAAUAACUCAUAAAAAAUUAUUAAAUAAUUUAAAUUAACUAUUUUAAAUAAAAUAACAACAUAAAUUAAAAAAUUAUUUGAAUUCGUUUAAAUUAAACUCUUUCGAUUGGUAUUAAAUCUAUCCGAAUUAAAAAAUUAUAGAGAGUUCGUGGAUGAUAAAAGGUCUAUCCGUAUAAGACGAGAUAAAGCCGCUCAAAAUAUUAAUAAAUUACAAUAUUUAAUGAUUCGAUCUUAAUUUAAUAAUUAUAUUUAAUUCAGUUAUUUCGAGCACAUUACAAAAAUUUAGUAGGAAAUAUUGUGACAUUUUAUGUCGAUAAAAUAUAAAAAAUCAAAAUUUAUAUAAUAGUUAGAGUAAAAUUAUUAAAUAAGUUAGAUUAAUAUUUUAAAUUAAGUUAUAUUAGGCUGGAGUGUUUUAUUAUUUUAUUUUUAAAUUAAAAUUAAAUAAUAAAAAAUAAAUUAUAUUUUUAAAUAUUUUACAUAUAAAAAAAACAAAUCAUUAGGUUAAAAAAUGCCAACUGUAGUAUGUUUAAUCCGACGUGUGGUUGUUUACCUAACUAUUUUGGGAUGUGUGGUGUAUUUUCCUUGUAAUUUUACAUCUAUAAUUAAAUUAUUCACCGUAAUUAUAUGGAUAUUUUAACAUUAAAACUUACUAUAAUCGUAAAUAUUAUUGAUUUAAAAAGAAUUAUUAAAUAGCAUCGUUAAAAGAGAUGAUAAAGAUGAAGUGUGAUGUACCAGACAUUAGAUAUGUAUCAAAUCCAACAGCAUUCACAAGCAAACUGUUGAAGGGUUUGGUUUAUGUCCUGUUAACACAGGACAUGAAAUUGAAGUCAGUAGCUUAUAGGGGAGAAAAACAUGGCACUAAAAUGCAAAAGUUAGGUUAACCAUAGAGUAUCUUAUAACAUACAUUAAUUUUUUAUGUGUUUGAGAAUUUUCUGAUGAUCAAGAUUUGAUUUCUCUCUAUUUUUAAAUUUUUUUUAUAAAAAAUAAUAACCGUCGGAUAGGGGUGAGCAGUAUUCGGUUCAAACUGAAAAAACCGAUCGAACCGAAUCGAUUUGAAAAUUUAGUUCGGUUUUUUAUACAUUUCGGUUCGGUUUAGUUUUUAAUUUUAGAAAUUUCGGUUAUUUCGAUUCGGUUCUAAUCAGAAAAAACAGAAAAAACCGAAUCGAACCGAUUAGUGAUAAUAAUAUAUUUUUUCAAUAAUAUAGAGAAAUUAAAUCAUAUUAAGAUUAAAAUAUUUUAAUUAAAUUUUAAAAUAUUAAAAAUAAAGUGUAAAAAAUAAAAAAUUAUUAAAAAUCGAAAUAGAUUAAACCGAAUCGAACCGAAUCAGACCGGUUCGAUUUGAUUCAGUUUCUGACCAAAAUCGGUUCGGUUUGGUUUUUAUAAACACUAAAAAUUUGAUUUUCGGUUUAUUCGGUUCGGUUCGGUUUUGAACCGAACCGACCGAAUGCUCACCCCUACCGUCGGACUUUUUACAUUUUGAGGUGAGAUCGGACCUUAGAGAAAAGUACAGACCCAAAGUCUAUCAAGCGAUUUUCGAGCAAACCAGUUAAACGUUGCAGGCUUUAACUCGGCGUUGUGAAGCAAGUCGGAUCAGUCAUACGUGCGGGCCUAACAGAAGAUAGUCUAGUUUGGUGACAUGAUAGGGAGUAAGAGAGUAGGUCUAGUUCCUUUGCAGCCCUACUAGCAUGUGUGCAGAGAGAAAUUAAAUAGCCGCUUGACAUAAAGGGGUAUGUUAGUAUCUCUGUACGUACAAAUCUGAGUGACAGAAACAGAUGAUACUGUAGUAAGAUGACGGUUAUGCGUUAUUAGAGGAUAAAAAAAAUGAGAAUAAAGGAGAGAGACGUGAUACUCCCUGACUAAAUUUACACAUAUAGGAUCUCAAAGUAUCGUAAAAUAUGUAUGCAAGUUCAAUAAUGAGGAAUAAUUAGUGUUUUAGUUAACCAGAACACUAAAGAUACAUUAGGUCAAAGUUGCCAUUUGUUUGUAAUGGAAAUGACUGAAACCAAACUUUCUCUUGAUUGAUUAUGGAAGACUAGUAAAGUAAGGGCACCAAAAGACUUGUUGGUUGCGGCUGCUGCCUUCUUGAAAAAGCAUGGUCCCUAACUCUAUGUAUAGUUAGGUGCAUGCCUUGUUUUAGGGAUAAUGGAGAUUAGGGUCAAAGCCUGUGGUGAUUAAAGUCUUCAUUUGUUGACACAAUUUUCAAUCUGUUAGAAGAACAUAUUUUGGAUGUUGGGUCUGGGGGAGUUGCAUUAAUUCGUUUUUAAAUAAUUAGAUCGCUUAAAUUGUAAUAAAAUAUUUUUUAAUUCGAUUAAAUUAUCAUUUAUUUUACGUAAUUACUUUAAUUUUAAUAAUUAUUUUAUAUUAAUUUAUCACUAAUAAAUGUAGGUUACCAUUUCAAAAAGAAAUUAAAGUGAUUGUAUUGUAACAAACAAAUGAAAAAGGAAGGGAGAAACAACAAACUGAAAAUGAUUGGUGUACAUCCAGUAUCAGUCCCAUCUGAAUUUUGUUCUUCCUAGGCAUCAAAUUCAGUUCAUUUACGGGAGGACAUUUUUUAGAAGGGAAAAUUAUUUUUUAAUUCCUGAGAUUUAACAUAAUUAACACUUCUGUUUCUCUAUUUUGGCGACCCAACACUUAAGUCCCUCACUUUAUUUUCUGUCCAAAUUCAUAGUCCUUCCGUCCAAAAUAGCUGUUUAGGACACGUGAAUUGACAAAAUUAACCCUCACUAAAUCCAAACCCAAAUGCCUCUUCUUCUUCUUCUCCUUCUUCUUCUCCUUCUUCUUCCUACCCUUUUCUGCAACUUCUUCUUCUUCUUUCUCCUUCUUCUUCUUCUUCUUCUUCUUCUUCUUCCUACCCUCCUUUCUGCAACUUCUUCUUCUUCUUCCUACCCUUUUUGCAACUUCUUUUUUUUCUUCUUCUUCUUUCUUCUUCUUCUUCUUCUUCUUUCUUCUUCUUCUUCUUCUUCUUCUUCAACCGGAGAAAACAUGAAAGAGAAAGAAAAAAAGAAAUUUCACAUUAAGAGAAGGGUAUUUCUGGAAAAAAUUAUCCCCUCUCACUUUUGACUCUUUGACCAAAUGGUUUAAAUGGACGAAAUGACUAUGAAUUUGGACGGAAGAGAAAGUAAGGAACUUAAGUGUUGGGUCGUCAAAAUAGAGGGACAGAAGUGUUAAUUACGUUAAACCUCAGGGACUAAGAAGUAAUUUUCCCUUUUUAGAAACAUAUUUUCUUCAUUUUCCAGACAUAUUUAAGGUAUAAAAUAAGGUUAUUUGUAUGAAAUAUUCAAAAAAAUUUUAUUAUUUUAUAAUUUAAGUUUAAAAAUUUUAAAAAUUAAUAAAAUUAUCUAAAAUUAAUUUAAAUAGGAGAAAGUAUCUUUUUAAAUAAUGUGGUAAAAUGAUGUAAAUUAUUUUAUUAUAUUUAUAUGCUAUAUAGAUAAAUUUAAAAUUUUUGAGUGUAAUUAUAUCAAUUUUUAAAAUUUUAAAUUAAAUUAUAAAAUAAUUAAAAAUUUUAAAUUUUUUUACUAAUAAUAUUUAUCUAAUGAAUAUAAUAAAAUAUUUCACAUUAUCACAUCAAUAAAACAUAUUUUUAUCGAUUUAAAUUUUAAACUUAUAUAUAACUACAAUAAAAUAUAUAAUUUUAAAUAAUUUAUUAAUUUUUUUAAAUUUUAAAUUAAAUCACAAAGCGAAAAAAUUUAAAAUUUUCAUAUGAUACCUUUAAAUAAUUUUCAUAUGAUAUUUUAAAAUAUGUUAAUUGUUAUAUUUAUUAUCUUUAUUUGGUGAUCCAUUUAUAAUGCUUUACCGAUUUUGAUUAAUUUAGUCGAAAGAGUUGAAAUGCAAAUUCUAUUUAUCUGAUUUAUCAAUAUGUAUUUGAGACUUUAGAAAAUAUAUUUUUUCGAUAUUAUUUUACUCGACUGAUUUGGUUUAUUGGCCUUUGUGCAUAUAAACCUAUCUCUAUUGGUUUUUCCAUUUUUCUUUUAUGGUGGAAAACUAUAUCAUUAUGUUUCAUAAGGGAUACUGAUAGAUCUUUAUUUCUUUUCUUUUCUUCAAAAGUUGUUUUUUUUUUAAGUAUAAUUAUGCCUUAACAAUAUUAAUAUGAUACAUUUUAUAAAGAAAAAAAAUAAUUUUAAUCAUACAACAAAUUAAUAUUGAAUUUGAGUUUAAUAAAAAUAUAAUUAUUUAAAUUUUGAUUUAAAUUUAAAUUAUUUUUAACAUAUAUAAUUAAUUUAAAAAAUUUAGAAUAUGUUUUAAAAAAUGUAAAUGUUAAAUAAUAUUGAUAAAUAAUAAAAUUAUAUGAAUAAAAGAAUACUAUUUUGGAUGCAUCUUAAUCUGUAGAUAGUUUAAAGAUGGAGAGGAUGAAUUCAAGCAAGGUUGGCAAAUAUCCAGUAUCCGUCCCAUCUCAUAAUAUGCAAGAGACCAAAUUCCUUUCUUUUUCUUCUUUUUUUUCAUUUAAUUGACUUGAUCUAUGUCUAAUAGUUGUUUUUUUUUUUUNNNNNNNNNNNNNNNNNNNNNNNNNNUGAAGAAAAAUAUAAUGAGAUAAAAGAUCAAUACAUCCAGAAAAAGACCCAAAGCCUACAAAAUAAAGCCUCUAAAAGGUGUCUAAGAUCCAUAGAACAAACUAACCAAAAAAGCAUCUAAACCCUAAAAUCCGAUCCAACUUAUCUAGAUCGGGUCUAUAUUCAUCUGUGUAAGAGAAAUUUUAUCUAGAUCGGAUCUAUAUUUAUAUGUAUAAGAUGAUAAUGUAGUCUGUAUAAAAUUUUUUAUACAUUUAAAUUAUAGAUCCGUGUAAACUCGAUCCAAGUAAGUAUUUAAUUAAAAAAAUACAUAAUGGAGGGAGAAAUGAUGAUCAUGAUCAUGUUAAUUAAUUAAUUAAAGUCCUGAUGGAGUUUCAGUUUCAUCUUCUACAAUUUCAACAGAAGCAUAUGCAACAGAAUAAUAUUUCUUCCAAUCACCAAUUGUAGCAGAAAUUAAUCCACCGUCAACCUUAGCUCUAGCCAAACCAUUCUCACAGAACUGAACAUUAUCAAGAGAAUAAUGAACGUCCAAGCUCGCAGUGCCACCUUCAAGCCCAUCUAGGUUAAGCAUCCCCACUGUUUCAUUAAAAUGCGCAGCACAAUCCUUGAAAGCUUCCACAGAUGCAGGAUAUUUUGCUUGGCUCGCAAGCCUGUUAAAGAAAUUUCUUUUAACAAUAGAUUGCUUUCUUGCGACUGCCAGGGCAAAAUUCGCGACGGUCCUGAUGUUUGUUGCUGAUAAUAUUUGGGGCUUGGAGUUCAUCAGUGCCAUGCAGAAUCCCAUGUCAUUACUUUGCUUGCAAAUUUCUGUCAGUAACUUGUUUGGAUGUCGUGAAACUUGGAGUGUUGCCUCAGCUUUGGAAGGCAAAUAGAGGGAGAGAGACGAGAAAAUUAUUGCAGAGAUUAUUAGGAAGCUGUGAGGACCCAUUACUCUAUGAAUUGGAAUUGCUGGUUUAGAAUUUGAUGUUGGGAUUUAGAUGAUUUGGUUUCUUGAAAAAUUGAUGAUGGUUUAGAUUUGGGAAUGAGGGUUUUGUAGGGUAAUUGAGAAGCCUAAUUUUGGUGGGUUUGUUGUAGUUUUUGUUCAUUGUCAUGAGAUUAAAAGGCUGGCUUUCCUUUUUAAAUUCUUAGACUCAAACUAAAAUUUAAAUUGAAUUGUCAUUGUGCUGGUAUCAGCCAUUAAUUUUUUGCUUUAUGGUGUAAAUGGUUAAGAUUGUUCUUUUUUCUAAAGGAAUGUUUGUUUAGUUCAAUUACUUUUCUUUUCGAUAAAAUAUUAAUAAGGAUAUAUAAUAUAUCGUACACAAUUGAGAUUUAAAGGGUUUAAAUUUGACUCGUUAAAAUUUUUCGAAUUUUACUCAUUUUAAAAUCUUGCGGAAUAUUAAUAAUUUUAAGUUUAAUUUAUUUAGCAAGAUGAAUUAAUACUUUAAGUUUGAUUUGUUUAGCAAGAUGAACCAAUGUUUUAUAGUGUCUAAUAUUUUAUGAAGAGUGAUUUUUAUUUAAUAACUAUAAAAGUUUUACUUUAAAAAUAAUAUAUCUGAAACUAAAUAAUUUUAAUUAAAUAAAUACAUAUAGGAUUAUAAGUUGGUUCAAAUUUAUUAAAAAUAAACUCUUAAAUUUUAAUAAUCUAAAUAUCUAUAAGUUCUAAAAGAGUAAUGAAAUUGUGUAGGCUGAUUUUUAGAAAAUUCAAAUUUAACUCAAAAAUUUAUACAGAUUUUGAGUUAUUCUCCUGGGACAUUGAGGUCGGUCUACUUAAGGAGCAUGUUUACCAGCUAAGCCGCGAACACACUCAUAAAUUUGAAAAGGAGCUGAAUAUUGUAGAGUUUAAACUCGAUUCGUUCAAUGAACGAGCUUAAAAAUUAAAAUUGAGUUUAAAUUAUUUAGAAAUUAAAUCGAAUCCAAUUGAAUUUUUAUGAAGCCAAAAUUUUGAAUCGCUCAUAUAUAUCUCAAUUCAUUUAUAUUCCUAAAUUAAAUUUUAUUCGUAUCAAAUCGGUUCAUUAAAAAAUAAUAUUUAUUUUAAGUUUAUUUAUCAAAAUCAAUAAAAAUUAAUUAAUAAUUUUAAUUUUAAAAAUAUUUAUAAUAAUUUAUUUAAAAUAUAAUUUAAAUUCUCAUAAUUUUUUAUAUAUUAAUAUAAAAUAACUUAAAAAUUAGUAAAGAUACAUAUAAAUAACUUAAAAACAGAGUGAAGAAGCGACUUGCAGCUGUUGAUUGAUCCAUUGUUUUUGGCAGCGCAAGAUUUGUUGUUGUUAUUAAAUCUGUUAUUGAUGGGUUGUGGGGAUCUGAUUUCAGAGGUUGCAUGCAUUUGAUGAGGUCUUUGCUUACAUUGCAUACAUCAGACAAUAAUUCUUCUGUCGUAGGUUUCUUUAUCGGUCUUGACUGACGUGAAACACAAAUACUGCAUGGAGUCUCUACAGUAUAGAGAAUUAUAAAUAAUUAUAUUUUUCACUUUUAUGUACUAAGUGAGAUUUCAAGAAAGAUAUCAAAAUUAGAAUUUUGAGAUAUUAUAUUAUAAUUUUAUAGCGUAUGGAUUGUAAAAAAAUAAUAAUUAAAUAAUCGUAAUGAUUUCAAUUCACUCAAUUUUAUUAGCAAAGUGUGUGGAUGAACGUGAUACUGGGCUCUAUUCUUUUGUUUUUUAGUUUCUUUUGUAGAGCAAAGAAGUUGAGGGAUCAGGUAGAUAGAAGAAAAUGAUUAACAUGCAAUUUCCAAUUUUGAUUCCUGCAACUAGACAAACAAGUUACAGAAAAUGAGAUGAUUUAAAAGUUGAGUGUUAAUAGAUUUUUCACUGAAAUUGAGGGGUGAAUUAUUUCAAAAAUCCAAAAUUUAAUAUUCCUUUGCAAGUUAAUUUAGAAUUUUGCCACAAUGAUUUAGUUCCCUAAAAGAUUAAAAAAAGAAAAUUAUACCCAAAAGUACAAGUUUCUCAUCAUUUUCAAAAUAUAAAAACAGAAGGCACCAUCAAAUGUUCUAUACUUAGGAUUAUAAAUGGAAGACAAACACUGAACCUCAUUUGCCCUUGCACCCUACAAACAAGACAAAUAACUCAUCUUUUCACUUUUAUUUCAAAAAUACUUUAUGGACAAAAUAUUUAAUAAGAUAUUUUUUUUAUUGUUUAAUUUUAAGUUAAAAAUAAAACAUAUUAAUAAAUUUAUAUAAAAAUAUUUUAAUAAACAUUUGAAAAAAUGUGAAAAAUAGCCUUUUUUUCUUUAAUCAUAAUUAUAUUUUCAAUUAAGUAAAUUUUCUGAAUAUUCAGAAAAUAUAAAAAAUAUUUUCAUAAAAAAUAUUUUUUUUAAAGAGAGAGUCUAAAUAAAUCAAUAAUAUUAUUACUUGAUAAUGGAUGAUGAUUUUUUUUUUUCCAAAAGAAAAAAUUGCAUUAAGUACAUCGACUCGUUUUCUCCAGACAGCCAAAGAAAGUCGUACACAUAAUACAAUAUUACAACCAAAGCCCAGACCAAGGCUAAAGUGGUGCUUAGCAGGGGAAAAUCAAGCCCCUAGAUAUACAGCAAUCAGCUACCAGCUAGCUGAAUUUGCAAUGCAAAGUGAACUUACAACUAAUUCAAAACAAAAGAAAAGGGAACAAAUCUGAACCAAAAAAAAAAACAAAACAAAUAAAUAAAUAAAAAUCCACAAUCCAAAACUUCAAAAUUCAUUAUGUUGAAUUCGUUUUCAACUACUAUCUGCAAUAAUGUCGAUAGAAAAGAAGCUUUCCCCGGAGACUGAAUUAUGUCCUGUUACUGAUUGUGAUGCCAACAUAGGUAAAUAAAUAAAAAGAGGAGGGAGCAAGAGGGAAACACUGCAGAGAGAGUUCACCACACAGAAAUGGAUGAACUGUUUUCAAGUCUUGAAAGUAAUUAUUUACACAAAGAAUAAAGCCAGCACUACAGAUUCAAUCCAAUCCAAGGUAAUAGACGUUCAAGAAUUUAGAGGACCCAAAAAAGAAAAGAAAAAAAAAAACAGUACCCUCUUUUAUCUUAAACAAUUACAAACACAUUCCUAUUGACUGCACUCCACCACCCGAUAACAUAAGCCCUCAUGCCUACACUGGGAACUGAUUUUUUUGGCUCCCAUGAUCAGAUAAUUGUAAGUUUCUAAUCAUUAGCAACUUCAAAAUUAGGAAGGAGAGCAUCCAAACAAAUAACAAUCACCCAUGUAGAUGCCAUGCUAAUAUCAGCAGAUUAAAAAACUACCUAUCAUCAUUGGCGCGGUUCCUUAGCUGUGACGUAGCUUCUGCUUUCAGUGACAUUAGAGUUGGCAAGGACCUCUGGUGCAAUUUCCCAGCUCCCACUUCUUCUUCCCCAACUGGAAUGUCUAGUGUCUGACCGAAUUGUGGGAGCUCGAUGAUCUGAACUGUGAACUGAAUCCACCUCUGAGAUAUUAUGAGGAGGCCCAUUGCUUCCCCUGCUUCGUAUGUCCUCGUCAAUUUCUUCAAUAUUACGACGUUGGGAGAUUUUCAAUAGAUCUUCACCUAUCUCGAGAUCAUCCUCAACUUUUGGACGUGGAUCCCCACCUAUCUCUUCUGGUUCUGCUUCCCUAGUACUGGGCAAAGUAGGCCUCGGUACCUCCUCUUGAACAAAUGCCCGAAAGUUGUUUUUUGAGGGCUUGACCUCUGUGCAAAAUACUUCUAGAAAAUUAUGAACACAACCCAGGUUGUACACAUUGAUUCUGUUGUCAGCUCUGUACCGGAAAUUUUCAUAUGUAGUCUGGAUAGGAAGAAAUACAAACAGUUUAAUCCAUGUAGAGGAUGCACAAAAUGGCAUCGAUACAGAACAAAAAGGACCAGAUUUAAGGAUCAUGAAAUCAUAAGCAAUCCUAGUCACUUCAAUGAAUUCCUGGGUACUUUCACUUUGUAUUCCUUUCAGGAAUAGAAUACAUUUUUACUCCAUUAGAAUGUAGACAUACCUCCGAUGGUCACACAAAUUUAUGAUUCUUCAAAUAGUUCAGUACUUUGUCCAACUUAAAAUAAGAAAAAAAAUUCAAAAUAUAAUGAGCCUGACAAUCAGCUGCUAUUGCUCAUAAAAAUGCAUAUUGUCCAUUUAAAACUUCAACUGAUUGUGCAGGUCUGACAUUAAUAAACCACUGAGAAUGUGAAUGUCUUCAAUUUAAAGUUGCAAAGCUUUUUCAAUUAUACUGAUUGUUGACCUCAUAAUCCAAAAUGAAAAGUUAGAUACCACAAAGAUAGUAAGAUAUAGACCAGAGUCCAUAAACAAGAUCUUGGCUGAUUAAACUCAUCACAAUCAGAUCAACCCCUUAAUUACCAAUCCAAACAAGAGAAAUAAACUGACCUGGUUUGUGCCUAUGAGGUACAAAUGGAAGCCAGUAAGUCCACCAACAAACCAGAGGGAGAUGAAACAAUAGGCCAUUAAUAUGACAGAUGCUGGUGAUUCUUUCAUGGCCCUCCAGACUGUGCUUUGGUAAUUAUCCAUUAGAAUUUUGAUGUACACAGCUGACAUUGCAAAUACAUAGAUGCAAAGAAGAGUUGCUGAAGAAACAAACAUGAAGAAGAAACGGUAGUUGCGCUGCAGAAUAUAAACAGAAUCAGAUUUAAAACACCACCACAUUGAUGGAUCAGAGUAUUCACAAUGUAAACUCAGAAUGUAAAAAAUGAAUGCAACAUAAGGAAAAUAACUUCCAUGAGAAAAGCAUACCAAACCAAUGCACUGUCCCACCCAAGGGCAAUGAUGAUCAAAUCGUUCCACACAGUUGUUACAAAUAGAACAAUGGGAGCAACGGGGAGGGCGAUAAAGCAUGCAUGUAUCACAAUACUUUACUCGAACAGGAAUGCCAUUAACCAUAACUUCCUUUGUCCGAGGGAACUGGAGGCUUGGUGUUUGUCUUCCCCCAGCCUCAACUGACACAGAAGAAUCAUUGCGGAACACUUCCUCUGGGGGAUGUGAAUUUCGGGGGACAAUACCAGGGUCCCGGGCUGAUGUGAGAAAAAGAAGAACCAACACCUGUCAAAAUCAAUCAAGAAACUUAUGUAAAACAACCAGUGUCAAUUAUAAAGGAACUCAUCUAUAUUCGCUACUGUCCACAAGGAUUCUACUAUAAAUAAGAACAUUCAGGAAUAGCAACCAAUGAACCUUCAUCCAAGAAGACAUACUUCUUUAUGCAACUCACUUGAAGAGAAAUGUUAGCUGCAGUCACUUUUUUAAUGGACUGUCCAUCACUCUCCAUUUUAUUAGUUGAAGUACAUAAUAAAUAGAGAUUAAAUAAGGAGAGAGAAAAUAACAAUUAAUAUAAUAAAUAUUUUUCAACCAAUGGGAUAGGUUGGACAGUCAUUUAAAAAAGUGAUUGCAGCAAGCAGUCCUCCUCACUUGAAAUAUAAACCAGUCAUAAAAAUGAAAAAAACUAUCAAAAAUCAGUAGCAAAGGCCUUGAGCACAUCCAAGUAUACAUAAUAAUUACUUGCAAAAACUCAAGAUGACCAUACAAUUCAGACUACCAUUUUUAGGUAGUUAAAAUUUGGGUAAAUACAUAUAAAACAUUAUUUAAAAUUCCAAAAGAACAACACUGUUUUCUAAUCAUGAAAUCAAAAUCAAUUGAAUUCACCUGAUCAGAUUGCCUGAACUAUUGCCUGAACUACAAAUGUCAUUUCAAAUUGUCAAAUAAUUUAAAUUAUUAUAUCAAAAUACUAUAAAAUAUAAAAAUAAUUAAAUACUAUAAAAUAUACAAAUAAUUAAAAUCUUCAAAAACAUCUGUCUACAAGCCCAGUACAUUAUUUUUGUAUGGCUAAAAUAUUCAAUUUCGUCUCUACACUUAUUAGGGUUCAAUUUAACCUAUUAUCAACUUUUUGUUUUUUCCAAAUUAGCUAAGAAAUUUCAAUUUAAGCUCAAUUUAGCCAAAUAAUCAAAAUUGCUACGUUGAAUUUCUUGAUCUAGCCCAAUCAAGAAACUCAAUUUCUUAAUUUUUGGGCUAGAUUAAGCUUAUAUUGAAACUUCAAAGAUAAUUUGAAAAAAAAAAAGGUUGAAAACUGGCUAAUAUGAACAUCCCAAUGUAUACGGGUGGAAUUGACCAUUAACGCCAUCUUUUUUUGUUUACCAAAUCCAAAAUAGAGUCUUCAUAGUAAAAUCAUAACCUUUUAAAGUCAAAUAACACCAUUAGUAUUAACCGUACUAAAGUAACCUUCAACCUGUAAAAGUUUCUAUGAAUAAUAAUUUAAGGUGUCAUAGAAUAGUAACAAUUUGAGGUGAAAAAUGAUACUAGAAUCUUAAUAUGUGACAGAUAAAAAAAAAUGAAAACUGCAAAAGCUGAAUGUUUACGCUUGAAUAAUUUAGUUUUGGAUUCAAUUUACAAUUUGGAGACUUAGUGACAACGAAGAACUCAUUGUUUGAAUACAGUAUACAGGGGGAAAACUGAUGAAUAGAUUCUUCCACGGUUCUAGAAGUGUUUAUUCGUCCCCAUAAAUUAUCUUACGACUAAUGUUAAUUGGAUGAUUUAUGGGCAGUUGGCACUUCUCAUCACAAAUCAUAGUCUAUUAGCCUUCAUAGAACUCCUAACAAGCCAAGUACAAAUAAAAGAUGCAUGCCCCCUUGUUGUGCUUCCAACUUGGGGCCAAGAAAUGGAUGCAUCAGUUCCUUAACUUAUAAAAAACUAUACACAAAAAAUUAACAAAGAAAGAAAGAAAGAACGAAUAGAAGGCAUACUGCAAAGAUCAGCAUACAGUGUCAAAAAUUUUGUGGAGAUGUUAAAGUUAUUGGACACUGAAAUAGAGGCAUCCUAUCAGGCUGCCAUCCUAUCCACACAUAUGCAUGCUCAGGCACAUCAAGUUCCUAUAAAAUCCUAGUCUCCUACUAAGGAUUAGCGGUCAAGCAUCAUGUAAUUAAGAAAACUUACAUAGAUAGUAAAGACAAUUGCUACCACCAUUAUCGCAUAUCCAGCAUUGUAUGGUGAAAAUUCAUGGCGAAGGUGCCUCGCAACAAAUACACAAAAGAUUACAACUGGAACAAUUAUCAGCAACAACGUGAUAAUCAGUGAACGAGCAUCAGGUCCAAAUAUCAACCUCCCACCAAGGAUGAACUUCUGUAACGGAUGGAUAAAAGAGACUUUCAGAUGCAGUAAAUCUAGAAUAAUGAAUCUGAUUGGUCAAAGAAACAACAAAGAUUUUGUUUUAUGCUUCUGAAGAGCUGCUCUUCUUAUUCCUUUUCUUCUAUUUUUUUAGGGAAGAGGGCUAAUGCGAGGGAGGGGAUUGAAACAUGGAGCACAUCAUCAAUUGGAACUAUAAAGUCAUUAGACAAUUCAUGCCAGAGUCACUUUUAUAGUAUUAUGGAUGUAAAGUAUUAUGAAUGUAAUUGGCAUGCUGCAGAAGUUAAGGGUUUUAUGCAAAGCACUGUAGCACACUCCAUUUCAUUCCACAUCUUACAAGUCACAAGCAAAAGAAAUUUCUCCAAUGACAUGUAGUAAACAUGAAGCCAAGUUUUUUCUAGAAAAAACUAUCUCACAAAAGUUACACUUCACCGCAAAAUCGAAAAUAACUGGCAAUUCCGUAAAAGGAAGAAUAACUAAAUACCUACUACCACAAACAUAAGUCAGGAAUGGAGAAAUUCAUUAGUAAAAAUAAAGCAAAAGCCAAAUUCCUUUCAGUCAUUGUCACUACUGCAUCAUUUUGAAACCAGUGAGGAUCUCUGAUGAUCAUUCAUGUAUAAAAACAUGCUCUUCCAGUCUUGUAUAACUAUAAGCAAGGAAUUUAAUUACUUCUUAGCUAUUUAGAGGCAUCUUCCCCAUGUUCAGCCUGUAUUCAAGGCAUAAUACAAAUUCCAAUAGGAGCAUGUGUCGGUGGGUGGGUGUGGGUGGGUGUUUGCACAUGCGUGCAUAAUGUUGUGAUUUGAUUCAAGGGACAGGACAGGACAAUCCCUCUUCAUCCUUUAAUUCGAGCACCAAUUGGACAGAGGAAAAAAGUUCCAGGCCCAACCCUUCCUUUUUCUGUCCCCAACUUCUUUCACGGGAGAAGCUACCCCAGUCCCAAGGACAAAAGUGAUAAAUUCUAAUGUAUAAAUGUCCCAAUGAAAAAAAAUUUUAUAUAUAUAUAUAUAUAUACACACACACAUAUAUCACAAUUGAAAUUUUUUAACCUAUUUAAUACUAUUAUGUUUAUUUGUUUCAUUCAUACUUUACAUAUUAAUAAUUUUAUCCCACAUCAACUGAACAAGCAAAACUUAAUUCCUCUAGAUCCUACCUUACCAUAUUACUGCACAUGGCACACACACAAAAAAAUGAUCAAUAUACCCACUGCUCAUCAAAAAUAUCAAGGAGCCGUAUUCCAAAUAGACCAAGAAAGAGAGUAGUCAAAACAUGUGAGAUUCACUACUUUUAAAUAUAGAAGACCAACAUUUCAAUAGUGGCUCGCUAAGUUUUCUUAUCCACGGCAAAUAAUUGGUGUUCAUGAUAUUGAAAACCAUGGACUUGUCACUAGAUAAAGCCCUCAAGUCCUCAACUUCCAAUAAGACAGUGGUUACAGAAUACAGUUAGGCAAACAAAACAGACAUACAAGGAAGUCAAAGUGUAUCUUCAACAUGACAUAUAUGAAAGACAAAAAGUGUUAAGAAUGUCAAGUAGCCAAUCUUCAUUACGUCAUCAUUAUGAAUUCUAGAAUUAGGAAAUUCCAAGAGAAUGAAUUACCAGAAAGAAUAAGAAAACUUGUAAUAGCUACCUCAUUGUCAUCCAAAUGUUUAAUAUCCAUUAGCAAAAAUACAACUUAGCUAUGCAAUGAAGAUUUAAAGAAAAACAAAAAACAAAAUAAUCAAAAGGACGCUAUCCUUUUAAGGACCCCUCCCUGCUAAUUUCAACGUGCUAAUUCUGAUUUUGGCUUUUAGGCAGUCAUCCAAAUGUUUAAUAUCCAUUAGCAAAAAUACAACUUAGCUAUGCAAUGAAGAUUUAAAGAAAAACAAAAAAACAAAAUAAUCAAAAGGACGCUAUCCUUUUAAGGACCCCUCCCUGCUAAUUUCAACGUGCUAAUUCUGAUUUUGGCUUUUGGGCAGAAGCAACCGGUAACGACUGAAUUGUGUUUUUAAGUGAGCUACCUUCUUUAGUUGGAAUUCCAUAUUGUGGACUCACAUUGAGAGACUAAGAGAUGAAAUUGAUUACUGCAAAGAUGACAUUAAAGAACUACAUAAUAAAAUCAAUUACCAUAAGGAUCAGUUAGUUUAUAUAUGUCAUCAGAUAGAUAACAAAGGUCGUGAUUGUGCGUUAUGUUGUUACUUACAUAAUCAAUAUAGAUAAAUUUUACUAGAUAAGGAAAGAAAACAUCGAGAUAUCCAACAAAUUUUACAAGUUAAAGGAAGGGAGUUGGAAGAAUACAAUUAAGAACUUGAAGAUGAACAACAAAAGCAAUUUGAAGUUCAAGACGAACAAAAAGAUGAAUUUGAAGAUCAACUUGAAUAUGAAAGGGAAGAAAUACAGAUAGAACCAUCAGAACUUUGAUUGUUGAGCAUUUAUAUUUGGAAGAUUGUUCUAGGAACACAUGUUGAAAAUUUUCUUCUAGAGAAAGAAGCUGAAGUUGAUGAGGAAAAGCUUGAAAAAUCCAUUCUAGAAAACAAAGAAAAUCAAGCCACAGAAAUUUCAAUUGAGAAGAAGGAAAAAUCAAGUCAUGGAGAUGACAAGGAAAUUGAAAAUUUUUCAAUUUGCAUUGUUCCCAGUGAUUUGAAGAGUAUCAACUUAUUGUCAUUGAUUUUCUAUGUUUAUAUAUUUCACAGGAUGCAAGAAAGUGUGAAGCUCUUCAUUUCAAUCUCAUUACUACCAUCAAAGAAGAUAAAGUUCUUUGCUCCCCAAUCCAAUUAUUCAUUAUUCCACACUAUAAAACUUAAGGUCAAGUCUUCUUCAACCAGGGGAGAAUCAUGCAGUACAGGACGAAAACUAAAUUUAAACAGUAAAUUCAUUGUAGAACUAGAAUGUUAGAAAUCUAUUAUUUAGGAACUGUGUUACUAUACUUAGAAAUUCUAUUGUAUUUAGUAUCAUGUUUCUAACUUUUGUUUAUUGGUUUAGCAUUUUAAUGUUUUGAAAUUCCUAAUCCUAACAGGGAUUGCUAGUAUACAAAUAUCUUCACAAUUUGGCAAUUUUUCUUUGAGCAAAUUAUUACAAUUAUUAUUGAGAAUUAAAUAAAAUUUUGAGAAUUUGUUUUUCUCCCGUUUGUAUCUUGCAGAUUUAUUUCUCUUGACAUCUCUGGUUUUGUCUUGUUCUACAUCACUUAGUUUAUUGUGAACAAUAAGCAAAGAUUUCAAAAUAUUUUCCAGGAAGAAUAGCCAGCUAUACAAGCACAAUCUAUUUUCUUAAAAACACCAUACACAAAAAUAAAAGUGUGCAAGGAGACAAUUGCCUCAAACACUUAAACAUACCCUUCAACUUGUUACACCAGACAGAAAAUUCCAAAAUACACACAUCCUAAAAGCUCUCGCAUUCUUUCAACAAACCCUAAGUGCCCAUCUAAACUAGCUCAAUGUCAUUAUAAAUUAAUAAUGAUAAUAACAACAACAACAGAAAAACAAGCCUUUUUAACCUUUCAAAUGUCAGUAUGAUAUAUGUGUACAUGUAAAGAAGACAGGCUAUAAUUCUGUGAAGUUCCAGAAAGAAGAGUAUAAAGAAAAUACAAUUGGUUGCAAAAAGCAAAUAAAAUUGGUUAGCAUCUUCUCUCUUCUCCAAUGCUUUAUAGGCAAUAAUAUUUCAUGUACAUAUGGAGGACAUGUCCCAAAUGGGAAAAAAAUAUAUUGUCUUACAUUUUCAUGUUUCCUAUCAUUCUCCUGCACUCAGGAGUAAGAGCACACUAUUUUCUCUAUAUUGCAAUACAUCUUUAUCGUUGAUAACUGUAUCCUAUCUAAUAAAUGGCUUCCCUCAAAGGGUCCCUAAGCCUUCAUAAUGUAACAUGUCUUAGAGCAGAAGAAACAGCUGCUUUGUCAAAUAUAAUAAGUGCUCGGAGUCUAAAAAAAAGUAGUAAUGGUAAAAAUGUGUCUGUGUGCUCACAUAAAAAAAAAAAUUAAUAAAAUAGAAAAACAGCAACAACUGAUAUGCCAGUGAUAAUAGCACCAGGAAACCUAUCAAUAUAAUAGUUAACUUUUUUUUUCUUUAUACUACAUGCAUACAUGCAUACUAUAUACAUAAAAACAUACAUAUAUAUAUAUAUAGAGAUACCAACCCAAGAUUACAAGUUACACUCUUUUAGAUACAAAAAAGUGAAGCACAAGUACUAAACCGAACAAUAAUAAGCACAAAACAUUACAAUGCCAUCUCAUACGUUUUCUAAAAGCAACAUAUAAGGGUCUUGAGAACUAUUUUGCACAAAUUUUGCACAUCAAAAGUACAAAUCAAAGUCACACGAUUUCACCACCCAUUGCUCCAUUCAGUUAUUAACUCGUCCACUGGUCCCAAAAACCCGAGACCUCAGUUUGAUUGCUUAAUAAAUGGAAAGAUUAGCACGAAUAAAAUAGAAGUAUUCAGCUGUAAAACUAAUACAGCAAUAUACCAAGUGUUCCAAAUACCCACACCCCAACUUUCCCUAUAGUUUUUCCUCGUAUUUCUCAGCAACCAAACAGGGAACGACUAACACAGUGGAAUACAUGGCAAAUUUCAACCCUCAGAAAGAAAAGGAGAGUGAGAUAUAAUGUACAAACUCAAAUUUGGCUCAGCCAAACAAAACCCACAAAUUGCAGAGUAAGUAAAGCAAAUCUAAACCAAUACCCAUAUGCUAAAAGCCAACCAUUGACAAAGAUUCAAAACCCGAAAUACAAAAACCAAUCAGAGCAUAUAAAAGGCCCUCACAUUACUUCCUUUCCACACUUCAUAAACGCGCUUCGCCAUGACAGUAACUCUCACGCGCCGCCCCCUUCUUUAUCUUCCACUUACUACGCAGGCACGGAGUCGAAGAUUUCAAACUUGGUGUUCCCCCUGUUCAUUUCAUUUCAAUUCAAUUUCAUUCAAAAAAACCCAAACCCGAAAAAUAAUAAAUCAGUGGCCAGGUGAAAUCACAGAAGGUGAUUGAUAGAGUAAUUAUGGGGGUUUGGGCCUGGGUUUUUGGGGAUUUUACAGAAAUUAUUACACCCUCACUCAAUGAGAGAGAGACAGAGAGAGACGAUCUGCGAGAUGGCGGUUUGUGGGUUUUGGAAUUUUGGGACUAGUGUGAGCGUUUGUGAUUGUGUGAGCGAGAGAUGGAAUGUUUUCUCUUUUUUUUUUUUUUAUAAAAAAUUUCUUUUUUUUUCAAAAAUGGACCUCUUCGUCUUCUAUAUGGUAAAGGGAGGCUGCUGUUGAACAUUCAAAUAAUAAAAAUAAAUAAAUAAAUAAACAAAUAUAUAUAUUGUUAUUAAUCUUUUAAUUGUAACCUUAUAAUAUUUAUUUUUAGAUAUUUUGUCAUAACAGUUAUUUCUAUUAUUAAAGUAAAUAUUGAUAAAGAAAAUAUACUUUAAUUUUAGAAAAAUAUUUAAAACACCAAAUUGAAGAAAACUAACUAUUAUUAAAACAUUAACCCUUCAUUUGAAAAUAAUAAUUUUAUAAUAAUUUAAUUUAAUUAAUUUUUAUUUCAAAUAAAAAAAUUAUUAUUUUUUAAUUUAAAAUUUUUUAUCAUGUAUAAAUUAAAAUUAUAAAAAGAUUUUGAUAAUUUAAAUUAUUUUAUUGUAAAAUCAUUCAUACUAAAUAAGUGAUGAAUAUAACAAUUUUUUACUCUUACUCUCACAGUAAAAUUAAGAGCAAAAAUAGAAUUAUAGAAAUAAUUACUCAAUAAAUUUCAUAAAAACAAAUUUACUUUAACUUUUAUAAUUUAAGAAAAUUGAAUCAAUAUAAUUAAAUUAUUAAAUUUUAGUAAGAAAGUGGAGAUGUAUGAAUUCAAACCUUGCUUUACUAGAUUAACUAUACUAGAUUAACUAUACUUUUAGCCGUUAAAACAUGUUAAACUGGUUAUUGAAUUAAUAAAAUUUCAUCAAAUACAGAGGGAUAUCAUUCUAAAAAAGAGACGAUUAUACCUAAUACAGACGAUUAUUUUUAAGAGAGACAGAUGAUUAUACCUAAUAAAUUCUCUAGCUAAAAUAUGAACACGACAAACCUAUUUAAUAAAAAUAUUAGUUUUAGAAUCAAAUAAAAAUUUAUAAUAAUAUUUAUAUAUUAUUUUAUAUAUUUAUUUUUAAAUUAUUAUAAUUUAAAUAUAUAAAAUAAUAAUUUAUAAUAAUCAUUUUAAAUUCGGUAAUUCUUUCACAAAUAAAUAGAAAAGUUAGUAGUGCUAUCUAUUAUAUUUUUUAAAUAAAUUUAUUUUAUUAAAAAAUAUUAUUCAACGAACAGGCACGAAUUAAUAUAUAAAAUAGCUAAAGUUGAAUCCAUUAUCAGAAAAGAGCUCAAGAAAAUUUUCAAGAAAGAUGUUGGACGAGCUGCUGGCUUGCUUCGUCUCCACUUCCAUGACUGCUUCGUUCAGGUGAUGACUGUAAUAUUUAUCUUUUAAUAUUCUUUUUGUUUCUCUCUCUCGCCAAUCGCCGUCGUAUAUUUACUUGAAUUAUUUCUGUGCAAGAGAGAGAAAAAAACUUUAAACUCUUAUUUUAAAAAGAAAAUAACGUUACAGGCAGGAUCUAGAAGCAUCCUGCUUUCUUAUGUAGCUGACAAGUACACGUGCACAUCUUGUGCCAAUCACAGCCCUAUUACAAUGGAAAGAACAUAAAAGAAACGACACAGUUUCAAUCAAUAUAUGCAUACACGCUCAAUAACUAAAACGAUGCAGUUUCAACACCCCUCCUCAAGUUGAAGCUGGUAAAGGCAGUAAAUUCAACUUGCCAGUAAGACUGUCAUUGCGAGAUGCAGGCAAUGCUUUCAUAAAGAUGUCUGCCAAUUGUUCUUGAGUGGGGAGAUGACUAGGUAGAAUAAAGCCUUGUUGGAGUUGGUCCCAGACGAGAUGGCAAUCUAUUUCAAUAUGCUUCGUGUGCUCAUGAAAUAUUGGGUUAGCUGCAAUGUGCAUUGCUGCCUUACUGUCACAAUGCAGUGGAAUGGGCAGCUGGAUGGCAACCUGCAAGUCCUGUAAAACAUAGCUAAUCCAAAGCAACUCAUAGACAGUGUUAGCCAUUGCACGAUAUUCAGCCUCAGCUGAAAACUUAGAAACAGUGGUUUGUUUCUUCGUCUUCCAAGAUAUGAGGCAAGGACCCAAGUAUAUGCAAUAUCCAAAUAGAGACUUCCUUGAAUAAGUACAGGCAGCCCAAUCAGAGUCACAAUAGGCAUUCAAGCAUAAAUCAUUGCUCACAGGGUAAUGAAGCCCCUGAUAAAGGGUGCCGUUGAGAUAACGAAGCACAUGUAGAGCAGCCUCCCAAUGAGGCUUUCAGGGCAUGCUCAUAAAUUGACUUAAGUGUUGCAUGGCAUAGCAUAUAUCAGGCCUUGUAAAAUUAAUAUAAAGAAGCCUCCCAAGGAGCCUUCGGUGCAUGUCAGGCUCAUCAAGAAUUUCUCCUGAAUCAGAAGUUAAAUGUAACCCUUGAGGUAGAGGACAAGAGACUGGUUUACAAUAAAACAUCCCAGCAUCCUUUAACACAUCCGAAAUGUAUUUAGUUUGGCUGAGAAUAGUUUCUUGAGAAGAUCUAGCAAUCUCUAGCCCCAAAAAAUAUUUCAUAGGUCCCAAAUCUUUGAUAGUGAACUUUGAGUCUAAUGCAAGCUUGCAUUUAUCUAUAGCAUCAAUAGAGUUUCCAGUCAAAAUGACAUCAUCAACAUACACAAGUAGAAUCAGAAUCAAAUUGCCAGUGUGUUGUGUAAAGAGGAAGUGGUCAUGAGGAGAUUGAACAAAGCCUAAAUUUUUUAGAAAAUUAGUAAACUCAAUGUUCCAUUGCCUGAAGACUUGUUUAAGUCCAUAUAAGGACCUUUUAAGCAAGCAAACUUGCCCUGGUUGGGCUUUGUGAUAGCCCUGAGGUGGUGUCAUGUACACCUCUUCAUUUAGAUACCCAUGAAGGAAGGCAUUGUUAAUAUCCAAUUGAAAUAUUGGCCACUGUUUAAAGGUGGCCAUAACGAUGAGAAUUCUUACUGUGGUAAGCUUUGCUACAGGUGAAAACAUGUCUUUAUAGUCCAGCCCUUCUAUUUGAUUGUAGCCUUUGGCUACCAAUCGGGCUUUAUACCUUUCUACGUCUCCAUUGGGUUUAAGUUUAACUUUGUAAACCCAUUUGCAUCCUAUUGCCUUUUUAUUCUUAGGCAAAGUGGUGAGUAUCCAAGUAUUAUUGGUUUCCAAGGCCUGAAGCUCUUGCUUCAUGGCCUCAAUCCAAUGGGCAUCUCUGGAUGCUUGAGAAUAUGUGCAAGGUUCAUAAACCUUAUUGACAUUGCAAAUAUAAGACUUAUGUGAUGGAUGAAAGGACAUAGAAGAUGUGUACAAAGAAUUCACAUAGUCCUACAUCCAAACAGGAGUCUGUCUGUGUCUUUGAGUCCUUCUAACAAAGGGACUUUUUUGAAGACCAUCAUCGGUAUGACUAGAUCUAUAAGGAAUAUGAUUUGGAGAAUCACAUUCAAUCACAGGUAUAGGAACCACAGAAUCCUCUAUUUCACUUGACCCUUGGAAGGGAAAGAUAUUUUCAUGGAAAAUUACAUCCCUACUGAUAAAAAAAGAUUUAUCAGCAAUGUUAUACAACUUAUACGCUUUAUGAGUGUUGGCAUACCCCAUCAUUAUGGCUUUAAUGGCUCUCUCUUGAAAUUUAUCUUUAUGUGUACCCACGGUAGUUGCAUAGCACAAGCAUCCAAAUUUUCUCAAGUGAGAAUAGUUAGGUAAGGUGCCAUAUAAUCUUUCAUAAGGGUUGUCCAAUUAAAACCCUCCAUAGGCAUUCUGUUAAUUAAGUAGGUGGCAGUUAAGAUGCAUUCUGCCCAGAAUUGGGUAGGUACUUAGGAUUGCAUUUUCAAGACUCUAGCAGUGUCAAGUAUGUGUCUGUGUUUUCUUUCCACAACUCCAUUCUGCUGGGGAGUGUAUGGGCAGGAUUUAUGGUGUAUAAUUCCCUUACUAGCAAGAAAGAGUUAUAAGCAUGACUUAAAAAUUCCCUUCCAUUAUCAGUUCUAAUGGUCUUAAUGGUAGUGUUGAAUUGAUUCUCUACCAUAUGAAUAAAGUGUUCAAUAAGACCAAAAGUUUGGCCUUUUAAGUGCAUCAUAAAGGUCCAUACGGGUCUACUGUAGUCAUCAACAAUGGUGAGGAAUAGUCUAGCUCCAAUGAUUGAGGUGGUCUUAUAAGGUCCCCAUAUGUCAAUAUGAAUCAAUUCAAAAGGUCUUGAAGCUAGAGUAUGACUUCUAGGGAAGGGUAAUCUAGCUUGCUUAGCAAGAGGGCAGAUGGGGCAGCAAGUCAUAGCAUUAUCACUGAUGUUUAUGCCUUUGAUAUGUUUGAGUUUGUUAACAGAUGCAUGUCCUAGUCUAUCAUGUAUGUCAUUCAUGCUCACAGUACAAUUGUAUAUCCUUUCACAUUGCAUAUAGUUUCUUUUAUUUGAAUCAGAUAUAGGAAUCAUGGCAUUUACAAGGUUGUGAAGAUUAGCAUCUAAGUUCAUGAUCUGAAUUAGGCAAUGUCUAAUCUCAGUUUGACAGAAACUCAUCUUAUUCAGUCUAAAUAGAUCUCUUUGUUUCUUUCCUAUGGCCACCACCUUCUUAUUCAGAGGGUCCUGUAUGAUACAGUAAUGAUGGCAUAUUACAAUACAAUAUCCAUGACUAUUCAUCAAUUGACUAAUGGAUACCAGAUUGUAUUAAAAGUAAGGAAUAUAUAGAACAUCAUUCAGAAGUAAUUUUCCAAAGAGGUUUAGCCUUCCAGAUUGGGUGACCUGUGUUGUGUUCCCAUCUGGAAAGCAAACAGAUAUGUGCUUGUGUAGUGUUUGUAAAGUGAUAAACAAACUGCUAUUUGAGCACAUGUGAUUAGUGGCUCCAGUGUCUAGGAUCCAACUAUCAUCAGUGUCCAAUUGUGCAUAACAGGUUUUAUGAAGGUUAGGAUUACCUGCAAAGUCCAUGAAGUGUGACUCAGGUUCAAGGCAUGUCCCAGGAGCUAGGCUCCCUGUAACGACCCAGAAACCGGACCGCUACCGGCGCUAGGAUCCAGAUCGGCUUAAGGCCGCCGGGACCCGUAGCAAGCCUCCUAUACCUGCUAUAUACCUGAUAACAUCCCAUACAUGAUCAUACAUUUUCAUAAAAACUUGAACUUUUCAUACACCAAGCUUGACCUGAGCAUGCACCAUAACAUUAACCAUACAAAACCCAGACUAGAGCCCUCAUCAAAUGCUCUAGUUGGGUUAUCAUUACAAUAAUCAAGCUUGGUUUUCAUAAACAAUCAUUAAAACAUUUCAUUAAAAAGAUCAUGUACCAAAAGGGAUUAACAUACACUGGGGCCAAUCACAAUUCUAUCCUCAAUACAAUUCUUUACAUUACAUCACAUUAUAGCAUUGUACAAUACAUGUCCACUACUAACUAUACAAACACUCAGCCUCUACUCUUCCUGACCUCCUGGUCUAUCCCGAACCUGCAAACCUGGGGGUUAAGGGAAAGGGGUGAGCUACUAGAGCCCAGUGAGCAGAAUAAUAAAACAUUAUAUAUUAAAACGUAUACUUUCAUGAAAUGCAUCACAUCACAAACAAUUCACAUCAAGGAUGGACUUGUCACCAAUAACCCUCUACAUAUCCAAUGUGCCCAGCCCUCGACGGAGCUCCGCAGGACUUCCUCUUAAUCAUCACACAAUGCCAAGACGCGUGGACAUGGGCAACCCUGGACUUUCAUAAAUCAUACAUAACAAAUGUCAGGACCCGUGGACAUAGGCAGCCUUGGACUUUCAUUAAUCAUCAUAUCAUAUUGAGGGCUAAUGGGUCAUCCAACAUCCAUCCACAUCAACAUCAAGUUAUGCAAUGCAACAUAUUCGUGAAUUCUAAUGCAAACACCCUAGUAUAUAUAUAUCAUGGCAUUCGUGAUGCGUGAUCAUGCUCAAAAUUUAUUUGCUUGCAACAUAAAGAUUCAUUCUACUCACCUCAGACUGACUCUAGGAAGACUCUAAAGCAGCUACCUCACUGCUGGGGUCUUCGGUUCCUCGAGUCCGAACCUAUACAGGUGGACUUAAAUGAGGGACCAAACAUACACUAACAUGACUCUAAACAACUCCCCAAAAACCCCCUAAAACACCUUAAAACAAUCAUAGAAAACAUGCAAAGGAAGGCUGAACAGGGCACUUUCGGCGGCAGGUUCGGCGGCCGAAAGUCCCUCCAGAGCUGAAAGUCGCAUUCGGCGGCCAAAAAUGGUUCCAGAGCCGAAACUCGCCAACCUUCGGGGGCAGGUUCGGCGGCCGAAACUCCUUUCCAGAGCUGAAAGUCCAAACUUUCGGGGGCAGGGUUCGGCAGCCAGAACUGCCUCCCCAGGCAAGUUCGGCGGCCGAACAUUGCUUCGGCUGUCGAACCUGAGUUUUUCCUGAAUGGCAGAACUCAGCCUCAAACAUGCACAUUUGCCUUCCAAACUCUCCAAACUCAUACACAACUCUCCCAAACAUGCAUAAACAUGUACACAAGCAUAUAGGGGUCUCAAACUAGUCUAAACCCCAACAAACAUCACAUUAAACAUGCAUAACAAUACACAUUACCUCAUAUAGCUCACAUAACCCUAACAUUUUACAUCUAGCUUAAACAUGCAUCUCUACCCCAAAAUCCUUCACAAAACUUGCUUAAAACAUCAAAGAAGGUGAGGAUCGACGCUUACCUCUUGAAGAUCGAGAGAAGGCGUGACCCAAACUUGGAGAUUAAGAGGGUUUGGGCUCCGGGGUCUCCAAACUUUCCAACUUUGAUUUUAAGCUCAAAAAAUCUUCAAAACCAAGUUAAAACUCGUUAAAACUUGAAGAGAUUGAAGGAAAAACCUCAAAUCUAACCAUGAAAGGUCAUGGAUUCAGCUCUGCCCGAAAAUGGGGAAGAAAACUCGCCCAUUUUCGGACAUGGAGCCUUUUAUAGGUGGCUGGCCAGACCACCUUCGGAAGCCAAAGGUGACUCCAAAACUCUACCAUGUUCGGCGGCCGAACAUGAGGUUCAGUGGCCGAACCUGGAUUUUCUUCCUUGGUGCUUUUCUUUCAAAACUCAAUUUCUUUCUUACUUAAAACCUUAAAAUAUAAGAAAACAUUUUAGAAAAACAUAUUUUACCCCUUCUAGAGGGUUCCGACAUCCGAGAUUCCGUCGGGAGACAGGAAUUCCGAUGCCGGAGUCUAGCCGAGUAUUACACUCCCUUUUCCUUUGACAAGUUGAGAAACUUCUUGCUUUAGGGAGGUCAGCAUGGAUGUCAGUUCAUUUAUCUUACUUGAUGUAUCAGUAUAAUCAAGAGGAUUGUCCUCUUCAUGCUUAUUUUGUUCUACAGCAGCCAUAAUUUUGGUGUUUCCAUAUCCUUUUACACCUUGUGUGCCACUUUUGUUCUUUGACUUGAACCAAUCAGGGUAUCCAAUCAGUCUAAAACACCCCUCCCGAGUGUGCCCAUUCAUAUUACAGAAGGUGCAAUGCCCCUUCUUGUUGUCAGGCUUUCUUGGUCUGACCUGACUUUGAGUGUAGGUUUUGUUCAAUAACACAAGGGAUUCAGAGUUGUCACUCAUGGCUCCCAAAAUCUCCCUUUGAGAUUCAAAUUUUACCACCAUUGAGUAUGCCUUAUUCACUGUUGGUAAGGGAUUCAUUCCCAAUACUUGGUCCCUUACAGACCCAAAAGACUCGUUCAGUCCCAUCAGAAACUGCAUGAGUCUGUUUCUGUUGGUUAUUUCUACUAUAGCCCUAGAGGCUCCACAUGUACAGGUAGGGAGGGUCUCCAUACAGCCUAACUCAUCCCAAAGUCUCUUUAGCUUAGUAAAGUAGACAGCAACAAGGGCAUUCUCUUGAGACAUAAGAGAAAUUUUUCUGUGUAAUUCAUAUAUCAUAGGGCCAUUGCAUUCUCCAAACCUUUCACAUAUUUCUAACCAGAGAUCUCUGGCUGAAGCAGUGUAUAUAAAACCAUCCACCAGUUCCUUAGAGAUGGAGUUAAGGAUCCAAGAUGUGACCAUGAAGUCACAUCUCUUCCAUUGUUCGUAACCCUCAGAGUCUUUGCUAGGUGCCGAAACUGUUCCUUCGACAAACCCUAGUUUCAUCUUGGCACCUAGGGCGAUUUUAAUCGCCCUGGUCCAUGAUAUGAAGUUUGACCCUAUAAGAGGUGCUGAGACUAGACUCAUACCUGGAUGAUCAGAAGCUUGGAGACUCAAAGGAUCUCCCUUUCCUUGGGCCAUGCCUUGUGAUUUUUCCGGUGCACCCGUCGCCUUCUGUUCCUUGCUACUGUUCCCUCGCUCCGUCGCCAUCAGAUCUCUCAGAAAACCUCUAGAUCUCACUCAUACAGCUAUUGACGCGCCGUCAUGAGUCAAAACUAGGCUCUGAUACCAUGUGCAAGAGAGAGAGAAAAGAACUUUGAACUCUUAUUUCAGAAAGAAAAUGAUGUUACAGACAGGGUCUAGAAGCAUCCUGCUUCCUUAUGUAGCAGACAAGUACACGUGCACAUCUUGUGCCAAUCACAGCCCUAUUACAAUGGAAAAACAUAAAAGAAACGACACAGUUUCAAUCAAUAUAUGCAUACACGCUCAAUAACUAAAACGAUGCAGUUUCAACAAUUUCUCUCGAUUAACGUCUGUCAGGGAUGCGAUAGCUCGGUGUUGCUUGAUGGAUCCGCCGGAGGACCAAGUGAAAAAUCUGAACGGCCUAACUUAACCUUAAGAAAACAAGCUUUAAAAUCGUCAACAAGCUUCGAGAGAUUGUCCACAAACAGUGUGGCCGUGUCGUCUCUUGCUCUGACAUAGUCGCCAUCGCUGCCCGUGAUUCCGUUUUCUUGGUAAUCACCAACUACUGUAACUUUUUCACUUCUUUAAAGAUAACUCAGUUUCUUUUAUGGGUUGCAGACCGGUCUUGACUACGACGUCCUAUUGGGAAGACGAGAUGGAGUAAACUUCGCUCGAGUGAAUCAAACUUUUGUAGACCUAGUAGGACCAGACGCUAACACUACCACCAUUCUCGUCAAGCUUGCUCGGAAAAAGCUUGAUGCCACCGAUGCAGUGGCCCUAUCAGGUUCCCACACCAUCGGCAUAGGCCACACCACAUCCUUCACCGACCGUCUUUAUCCAACCCAAGAUCCUACCAUGGACAAAACCUUCGCCAAAAGUCUCAAGCGAACUUGUCCGAAACCAGACACCAGGAACACAACUUUCUUGGAUAUUCGAUCCCCUAAUAAAUUUGACAACAAGUACUACUGUUGAUCUCAUGAACCGCCAAGGGCUGUUUACCUCGGACCAUUGUUACUAGCUUCGCCAUUAAUGAAACACUGAUAGUUUCCAUGAUCAAGAUGGGGAACUGAACGUUUUGACAGGGAAACAAGGGGAAAUUCGAGCCAAUUGUUCUGCCAGGAACUCUGAUAACAAGCUUUUGGUGUAUGUAGCAGAAGAGGAGAUGGAUCACCUGCUGAAAUGAGAUAAUUAAAUUAAUAAACUUGUCAAAAUCUCACAAUCACAUACGUAGUAUUAACGAGUUUGAUUUUUUAAUUAAGAAAAGUUUAUUUUAGUAAUUUAAUUUUAAAUUUUGAAAAUGAAAGGAAGAAAAUUAACUUUCAACUUAUUUAUAUAUAUAUAUAUAUAUAUAUUUAAUUUUUAAUAAAAACCCUCGUAAAAUUGAUAAACAGUAAUUUUUAAGUCUCAAGAAUUUCUCUUUUCAUGAAAGUUAAAGAUAAGUAUGUUCCCUUCAGAAAAAUAAUAUAAAACGAGCCAAAGAAAAAUAAAAUUCAGAUUUUUUUUAUUUUUGCAAAAUUUAUCUUCUAUCAAAAAACAAUGAAGAAAGCCAUUUCAAAACUUCAUUUUAGAAAUUUAAAAUUCAAAAUUUCUGUUUAAACUUUAAAUAUACUAAUUUCAAUGGUAUUUUAAAUUAAAAUUAACGAAAUCUUUAAAAAUUGCCAUUGUUUAUAAGGCAAGUCUGUGUAAUUUCAUAAACUCUUUAAUUAAAAUAUUUUAUUUAUUAUUUCCAUUAACUUAAUCCUUCUAUUCAUUCUGAUCUAUUUUUUCCGUUAAAAUCUUAGUAAAAUGAAAGAUAAAAUAAUUUAGGAUUACCCUUAUUCUUACAUUUAUAAUAAAAUCUUUAUAUAACUUUCGAAUUCUUUCCCCAAAAUUUUUUCAUAAAUUUUCCUUUCCAAACUGAAUUAAUAGCAUAUAUGGUUGAAUGCUGAUAACCGCCAGAUUUCUUUACCCCGGACCCUGGUUAGACCCAUAGAGAUAGUCCACAACCUGGAGGCCUCAAGGCUUCCCGACCGAGUCUGGCCCAUUCCACUCCACUUCGAGACCAGACUCCUGCUAAACCCGACAGUCAGACCGGCCCAGCCCAUUAGGACCUAAGAUCCGGCCUCUCCUGGAAUUGGCAUUUUUCUUUCUAACCCUGUCAUGAGAAGAAAGGACAAUAAGCCCGGUCACUUCGCAACCCCAUUCGUCCUCGCGCCGGAGGGCAUUAAAUGGCCGCCUGACAUAGGAGAGGUCGCCACAUUAUCCGUACGUACUAGCCCAUACGGAAGAAAAGGUGGUCCUAUACUAGAAAGGGUGGAUACACGUUACUAAAAAAAGAGGAUAAAAAGGGAGGAACACCCCUCUCCAAGGGGGGCCUUUUUUAGAACGCAUUGUAAAUCUUAUUUUCUGGAUCUCAGCUAAUCAAUUGGCGCCGUCUGUGGGAAUGAAGGAGAUCUUUUCAUCGCCGGAGUUCCACUUUUACAAUACCCACUGAGAUCCACAAUGGCCAACCAUAACGAAAGCAACCUUGUCAACACCCCUAAUGAUCUGAGCUCUGCUCAGGAGGGGCAACAAUUCUCUUUCUCUAACUCCACAACCCCAAACAAUCAAACACCAAUCCCCUUCAAACUCUCGCCAAGUUUGGCAGGGAAUACAUCCAGAGUUAACUUAUCCAACCAGGACCUCCAAGCCAUGGCUCUCCAGCUACAAAACACCACCAACUGGUUGGGGCAGAUGAUGCAACAGAGAGGCCUUAGCACCCCGAUGAAUGUGUUGCCAAUGGUAGAAGAACCCAGAACUAAUGAACCUCAGCAGCCUACCUUCAACCAUCCUCAAACCAAUAACAGAAAAACUGGAGAAAGAGGAAGGAGAACCGGGGGAGAAGCAGAACCGGAGGCCAGGAUUCAUGAAAGAAGAGUAAGAGAGCUGAUAGAAAAUGAUGAGGCCAACAGUUAUUCUGUCGAAACAACCAAGAGGACGGAAAGUGAAGCGUGGGAAGAGGGAUGUCACCUAGAGAAGAGACCCAGACAAGAAGAAGAAAAUGUAGAUUAAAAAUUGCAGAAGCUGAGGAAACAGCUCCUAGCUGAGUUGGGAGCGAAGGAUGUGGUUAGGAAUGAGUUAAUGGUGUUUGUUUCAUAUGAUCUCAUGGUAGUUUGGUCUACUACUUUUAUAACUAUGAUAUAAUUCAUUUUAUUAAAAAAAAUCAAAUCAAUUUUUAAAAAUAAAUAAAAAAUUAUUAAAAAAUAAAAAUAUUAAAUUGAAUUCUUAUAAAAUUUAAAGGCAGAAUAAGGUUAUAUCUGCCCAUUUCUAAAAAGCAAUAGAGAGCCAUAUUUACAUCAAUUUUGAGGCCAUUUUGAUUUCUAAAAUUAGGGCAAAAGUGCAAUAGAGAUUUAGUGCAGGUAAGAGUUAUAUUGUUGGCAAUGAAAUAAAUCACGAAAAGGAGGAAAAUAAUGCAGAAGAAGAGAAAAAAAAAUUAAUUAAAUAAUAAAAAUAAUUUAAUUUUUUAAUAUAUUUUUAACAGUAUAAAUAAAUAAAAUUAGGUGAAAUAACUUUUUUAUUGACAAAAAUAAAAGGAAGAGGCAUUUUAAUAAAUUCUUAAAAAUUGCUUAUAAAUAAUAGUAAUAUCUAUGAUCACAAUCAUAAAUCUCCCAUUCCUUUUUGGAUUUGCGGAUUUUAUUUUAUUGCCUUAAUUGAUAUCUGGGUCUUCCUCUUGUUUGCAUGCCAUAUUUUGGGUGGCUUGACGGUGGGUGGUUGUUGGGACGGCGAUCGUGACUUCUAUCUUUGGUAUAGUCGGUGGCAAGCGGUGGAUGUCGAUGCCUUCUGGUGCAUUGGGCUCAAAGCUUUAGGCUUAGUAGACUUCUUUUGUGGGUUGCUUUUGGCAUUCUAUGGGCUUAUAGUAUUUGCCCAGUUUUGAUCUUUCAAUGCAAUUUGCAUAAUUGAAAAAAAAAAAAAAUCAAUGGCUUUAGCUUUUAGUGUUCGUUCUUAAAAAUUUCUGUUAAAUAAAUGUUAUUUUGAAUUUUUUUUUCUUAAUAAAAAGAGAAAAAAUAACUAAAAAUUAAAUAAUUGAAAUAAUUUUUUAUUUGAUUUCAUCCGAUUUUUAUUACCCUAAAUUUUUAUUUUUUUAUUAGUAAUUGAAUCUGAAUUAAAAAUAAUUAUUUAAUAAGAUUAAUUUAAAUGGUUUCUCAUAUUUAUGAAAAUUCUAUAAAUUAAUUUCUUAUAUCAAGAAAAUUUUAAAUUUUUUUAUAAUAAUUAAUAGUUAAAUUAAUGGAAGGAUCAAUUAAUAAUUUUUUUAAAAUAUUACAAAUAUUUUAAUAUAUUUUUAAAUAUAAAAGUACUAAUUAAUAAGUUUUUUAUAUGUAGGAAUUAAGUAGUAAAUUUUUAAUAAUAAAAUAAACUGAAAAUACUAAAUUUUAUUUUUUAUUUAAAUUUAUUUUUAGAGAGUAAAUUUAAAUCAAAAUUUAAAAUUGAAUAUAUUUAAUUUUCGGGUAUAACUUAAAAAAAAACUUUAUCUUUAAUUUUUUUGAUAAAAUACUGAAAAUACUCAAUUAAUUAUUAAUUGAGAAAUAAUAAAAAAAUGUAAUUAAUAAAAUAUAAACAUUAAUAUAAAAUAAUAUAAAAUCUUAGUAAUUUAAACUCUUUGUAAACAUUAAAAUAAAUAGUAAGAUUGUGUUUUUUAAAUGAUUAUUUAAAUAUAUAAACUUUAAAUAUAAUAGUUUCAAUUUUUAUUUUUUUGUAAAAAUGAAUUAUUAUAAAAUCUAUAAUAAUAAAAUAAAUAUAAAAUAUGUGAAAAUAUAAUUUAUAACAAAUUAUAAUAUUAUUUUGAAAUUAGCUAAUAUUAAUAUUCUAAUUGAUUAAAUUUAUUUUUAAAUUAUGUAAUUGAACUAACAAUAAAAUCUAGUAGUUUUAUAUUUUUUUAUCCAAUUUAAAAAUUAUCAAUAAAAAUAAUUUAAUGUUAUCUAUAAAUUAACUAUAAAAACCAUGUUGAAAAUAAUUAAUAUUUAUAAAUUAAAAUAUUAUGUUAAAAAUUUUUAGAACAAAAAGGUAUACAGAAAAUAAUAAAAAUAAUAAAUAAACUAUCCUAAUUAUCUUAAAACUUAAUUUAACACAUUAAAAAUAAUUUUUACUGAUAUAAAUUAUUUUUUAUGACUAUAUUAAAUAUAUAAAAAAAUAAUUAUAUGAUUACUUUAUUAUUCUAUUAUUUUCUAAAAAAAUAAUAUUAAUAUUAUUAAAAUUAUUGAUUAUUAUCUUAUAAAUUUAAAUUUUUUAUUUUAUAAUUUAAUUUUUUUUUUAAAAUAAAGCUAAAAUUCCAUAAAAUAAAAGGGAUAUCAUCCCAAAUAAAGAAACGAUUAUACUGAUAGAUUCUCUAACGAAAAUAUGAACAGUUCGAGUAGUAUUACGACGAACCCAUCUAACAGUUUAGAGAGAUUUACAAUCAUUUAAAAUCAAAUCCCUGCAUAAUAUAAUUUGACAAAUAUACUCCUGAAGUGUAUGUCAAAAUCUCUGCAUAAGAUAAUUGCUACUCCUUCUUUUUCAUCUCUCGAACAUAAAUCAUUAAAGUUUCUCGAACAAAGUCACAGAAAGAGUUUCUACGAGAUAAAAUUCGAAUAAGAUUAUAAGACUGACGUUAUCGUUGCGAUUCCGGAAACUCAUAAUAACUAAUAAAUCUCCAUUGAACAUGACCUUUCAAAACAAUCGAAUUAAUAAAAUUUGAAAAAAAUCCAACUAUAGAAAUAGGCACAUGGCUCUUCCACAUUAACGAAACCUCUCAUUUCAAUUCUUGUUUAUUGACCGAAAAACAAUCAUCUUAAUAUAAAAAGUUAUGAAAAAAUUUUAUACGAUAAUUAAGAGUUUUUAUUUUCAUUAAAAAUAAAAUAUUCGAUUUAUAACUAGAAAGGAUUAACUGUUUGAUUUUUUAAUAUUUAUAUAUAUACCUCAUAAUUUAAACAUUUAUUUAAUUAAUUUAAAUAAAUUGAGCUAAUAAAAAUUAUUAUUCACUUUAAAAUUUAAAUACAAUUAUAAAUAAUUAAAGUAACAACUUAAUAAUUUUUUAUAGUUACAUAAAGAAGUUUUUAAAUUAUAUUAAAAUUGUUAGAUUUUUUUUAUGUUAUUGAUAGUGGAUUCUUAAAAUUAUUAUAAUCAAUUUAAUAAAUAUUUUAUAAUUUUAAUUUUAUAAAUUUAGAUUUAUUAUCUAAUAAUUUAAUAUUAUUAUAAUUAUUUUAAUAUUUUAAGUUAAAAAAUAAUUUCUCGUUAUAUUAUCAUUUAUUACCUUAUAAUUUCUAAUAUCAAAUUUUGAAUUUUUUACUACUUAUGUAUAUCCUAAAAUUUACAUAAUUAUUUAUCAAUUUUAAAAUAAUUUUAAUAAUAACAAUUAUUUUUAUUUUAAAAGUAAAAUAUAAUUGUUAUAAUUAAAAGAUCAGCACAUUAUAUAAUUAUUUUAUAUUAUCAAAACUAUUAUUUUAUAUUCUUUUUAUAAUUAAUUAAUAUUUAAUUCUAAUUUUUGAUAUAAUUAUUAAUAAUUAAAAGAACNNNNNNNNNNNNNNNNNNNNNNNNNNNNNNNNNNNNNNNNNNNNNNNNNNNNNNNNNNNNNNNNNNNNNNNNNNNNNNNNNNNNNNNNNNNNNNNNNNNNNNNNNNNNNNNNNNNNNNNNNNNNNNNNNNNNNNNNNNNNNNNNNNNNNNNNNNNNNNNNNNNNNNNNNNNNNNNNNNNNNNNNNNNNNNNNNNNNNNNNNNNNNNNNNNNNAAAAAAAAAAAAAAACAAUAAUUUAAAAAUAAAUAGGAAAGAGUGAAAACGAAAACUACAUUUAAAAAAAUAUAUGGAUAAACUUUAAAAAUAUAUAUUCAAGCACGGAGUGGGUUUCAACUAACCUCUCUCAUUUAAAUAAUAAAAAUAAAUUCAACUAAAUUUAAAACUAUCAAUAUUAAGGCUGGAUUUAUUUGUUUUAACAUAAAUAUUUAUUCAGAAAAUAAUAUUUUAAAAUAUUAUUUCUCUUUAUUUCAUUGGGAUUACAAUUUAAUUCGAAAAAUCUGUACUUGAUCCAAAAUGACUCAAAUAUAAAUUAGGAGUGAGUAUUUGAUCGAUUUAAAAUCGAAUCAAAUCAAAUAAAUUGAAAUUUUAAUAUUUAUAAAAAUCAAACAGAAUCAAUUUUAGUCAGAAAUUGAAUCGAAUCGAAACGGUCUUAUUUAGUUUGAUUCGAUUUGAUCAGUUUAAAUUUUUAAUAAAUUUUUUAUUUUUAUACUUUCUUUUUAAUAUUUUAAAAUUUAAUUAGAAUAUUUUAACUUUAAUAUAUGAUCUAAUUUUUUUACAUUAUUAAAAAUAAUAUGCGAUAAUUACUAAUCGAUUUGGUUCAAUUUUUUUAAUUUUUUAUUAAAAUCGAACCGAAUCGAAAUAAUAAAAUUUUUAAAAUUAAAAAUUAAAAUCAAAAUAAAUAAAAACCGAAUCAAUAUUUUAAAUUAAAAAAAUGAGAUAAACACUUGAAGAAAAAGAAGAAGAAGUCAUGAUAAACAAGGCUCUUGUGAAAAUGCAUGCCAAAUUGGGGGAAGCAUGCUGCUAAUGCUUCACAAGUGUGAUGAUGGUGCUUGCUUAGUGACAACGAUUGGAACCAAAACUCUUUAUUUUUAUUUAUUUUUAUUUGACAAACACAACUUAAUUUGGUUCUCUUUGUAUUGUCUUUUGCUUGAAAAAUUGUCUUCCCUUUAGGACAAAUGUCCCAAUGCUCCCCAUUAAUAUUAAAUUCUCUAAUUUUGUGGACUUGGAUUUUGAAUGGCCCAAUUUCAUAAAUUUCUCUACCUACUGUGUUCAUGGGUGUAAGCAUAACCAUUGCUUCCAUAUUCCUCUCAAUAUCCUUAGAAUGCGAUGCCUAUCAAAGAUACUUUAAUUUCCUUCGUACAACCAAUAUUGACUACAUUUACGUAUCGACUACAAUUAACGAAGAAUAUAAAAAUUAAAAAAUAUAAAAAAAUAUCAUGUAAUUUUACUCAUUUUCAUUUUAGAGUCUACUUUUUAAUUUAUAACAAAAAAAUAUCAUAUAUAUCGCAUCGUUAAUAAAAAUUGAUAAAAUUUUAUAUAUUUUUUAAUAUAUUUUUUAAAAUUAAAAGAUUAAUUAAUAAUUUUUUGAAUUUAUUAUGAAUUUUCUUAUAAAAAAUUAUAAUAAAAACAUUAUCUAGAGAAAACGUCCAAUUAAGAAAUGCAUCAUAUGUUUUAAUUCAAUGAUGAUGAAGGGUCUAUGAUUCUUAGAAUGAUCAUGGCUAUACUAGAUUGAUGCUCAGAAAAAAAGAAAAUAAUUGUAAAGUGGAAAGCCCCAUGUAUAAGAAAAAAAAAAACAGGAAGGGCCCACAAAGCACUAACAACCUCAAACAGGUCACCAACAUGGCAUAAAGAGGAAAGAUAAGAGUGUUUUUGCUUUUGAUAAAGGCAAGAUUGGCCUUUAAAAAUUGACAUAUUUUGAUUUAGGACUCUCUCCUCUUAUUUUCUUGCCUAAAACAAGGACACUUUUUUUUAUCAAACUUAUCCUGUUUAAUCUUUAAAAGCCUAUGCAUCCUCAUCCUCUGGGCCCCCCUACCCUCCAGUUGGGUGGUCAGUGGGCCCUUUUCACCAUGUGAACUUCUUCCUCCAUCAUGGCAUCUUUGUACACUCUAGACCCCACCUCACCACCACCACCGGCUCUCAUCAUUCCUCCUCACAAAAUCAAUCAAUCUUCCCAGCAUCACCACGUGGUCUGCCACCACACUGGAUCAUCAUGUAAUAAAUGAAAAAAAAUUUUCGUUAAUUGAUUUUUUAUUUUAAAAACUUCAUUAAAAAUUUAUUAAUUAAUUGUUAAUAUUUUAUUUUAUUUUAAAUUUUCUAUUAUAAAAAAAUUAACUAUUAUUUUUUAAAAAGAUCUAUUAAUUAAUUUUUUUAUAUUAAGGGUAUUCUAAAUUUUUUUCUAAUAAUUAACGAAUAUAGUUAAUAAAAAAAUUAAUUAGUAUAUUUUUAAAAAUUUUUAAAAUGAUUUAAUUAUUUUUUUAAGAAUAAAAAAUUAAUUAAUAAAAUUUUCAAGGAUAAAAUAGUAAUUUUUUCCAAAAAAUAUACCCUCCCCUGCAUUGUUUGUCCAAUCCAAUAAUAUUGACGUGCAUGUGAACAUUUCAUUUACUAUGUUCCCUCAUUAUAUAAAUACCCAGAAUUUGUCAAUUUGGUAAGCAACAAGAGAAAGAGAAAAAAAAACAAACAGCUUUUGAGCUCUUGGGGUUUUCUUUUUGGCUUUGGUUUGUUGAUCUGCUGGUGUGGUGGUGGUUCUUGGUGGCGGUGGUGGUGAUGAUGGAGAAGUGCAAGUCAUACCCAGAAUAUUCAUCGUCUUUCUCUGGAGAAUUUGGGUUCGAAGAUGGAUCAAAUUCGUACAGCUUCAACGGGCCAUGUAAUAAAGGAAACGGAUUUGCAACAUCAAACGAUCCAGAGAUGAAGAGAAAGAAGAGAAUAGCUUCAUAUAAUGUGUUCACCAUGGAAGGGAAGCUUAAAUCUAGCGUAAGAAACAGCUUCAAGUGGAUCAAGAACAAGUUCGGUCCUGGUGAUGUUCGUUAUGGUAUGUGAAUGAUUUCUUUGAAGAUCAAAGAGAAGGGUUUUUUUUUUUUCUAUCUUUGGAAACUUAGAGAAGAGUGCUAUGAUUUUUGUUCUUUUGAUAUUUUUCUUUCACUUGGAAUAUGCUUGCCAUGCAUGAUCACACGAUAGUUGGGAUCUUUUGUAUGUCGGAGAAAAGGAAAGAAAAGAAAAGAAAAGAAAAGAAAAGAAAAGAAAAGAAAAGAAAAGAAAAAUCCCUUCUUUCCUUUCAUUUCUUUCUUGCUCUUAAACUCCUACAUAUUUUCCCAAGUUCUGUAUUUAUUGCACACCUUUGGAUCGCCUUCCAUUUAGAAGAAGAAGAAGAUGACGAUCAUAAUCAUAAUCACAAUUUUAAUUACCACUGAAAAAUAACUUUCAUCAUAAUUUUUUAAAAUAUUUCUUAAACAGUCAUUAAUUAAUUUACAAAUAAUAUUAUUUAUAAAUAUCAAAAUCAAUUCAUCAAUCCGAUUCUCAUCUGGUUCACGGUUCGAACCAGAACCAGAGGAAGCAAAGGUGAAGAAGCAUCCACAAGGUGCAUGAAGAAGAAGAAGAAGAAGAGGAGAUGGUUUGUUAGAAGGUCGCUGUUAAGAUGAGGCGUCCAUUUUAUGCCCAUAUUAUUUGAAAAUCAGGAAUUAGGUGCCAAUCCCCAUCACAUUAAUUUCCAACAUUUUCUUUUUUUUUUAAUCAAUUUUCUUAAUUUUUCCUUUCACAUUCAACAUAUUAUAU
rnacentral:lncRNA from 1 species